rnacentral:tRNA from 1 species
GGCGGAUGUAGCCAAGUGGAUCAAGGCAGUGGAUUUGGGAAUCC